rnacentral:rRNA from 1 species
UACGGAGGAUCCAAGCGUUAUCCGGAUUUAUUGGGUUUAAAGGGUGCGUAGGCGGAUUGAUAAGUUAGAGGUGAAAUGUCUGAGCUCAACUCGGGAACUGCCUCUAAUGCUGUUGAUCUAGAGAGUAGAUGCGGUAGGCGGAAUGUAUGGUGUAGCGGUGAAAUGCUUAGAGAUCAUACAGAACACCGAUUGCGAAGGCAGCUUACCAAUCUAUAUCUGACGUUGAGGCACGAAAGCGUGGGGAGCAAACAGG